rnacentral:tRNA from 1 species
GCGCUCGUGGUGAAAUGGAUAUCACAGCUGGCUUCGGACCAGCCGUUCUGGGUUCGAGUCCUGGCGGGCGCG